GAUGAACGCUAGCGGGAGGCCUAACACAUGCAAGCCGAGCGGUAUUGUUUCUUCGGCAAUGAGAGAGCGGCGUACGGGUGCGUAACACGUGUGCAACCUGCCUUUAUCUGGGGGAUAGCCUUUCGAAAGGAAGAUUAAUACUCCAUAAUAUAUUGAACGGCAUCGUUUAAUAUUGAAAGCUCCGGCGGAUAGAGAUGGGCACGCGCAAGAUUAGCUAGUUGGUGAGGUAACGGCUCACCAAGGCGAUGAUCUUUAGGGGGCCUGAGAGGGUGAUCCCCCACACUGGUACUGAGACACGGACCAGACUCCUACGGGAGGCAGCAGUGAGGAAUAUUGGUCAAUGGGUGCAAGCCUGAACCAGCCAUCCCGCGUGAAGGACGACUGCACUAUGGGUUGUAAACUUCUUUUGUAUAGGGAUAAACCUACCCUCGAGAGGGUAGCUGAAGGUACUAUACGAAUAAGCACCGGCUAACUCCGUG
rnacentral:rRNA from 1 species